rnacentral:rRNA from 1 species
UCCCGCAUACGACCUGAGGGUGAAAGCGGGGGAUCGCAAGACCUCGCGCAAUUGGAGCGGCCGAUAUCAGAUUAGGUAGUUGGUGGGGUAAAGGCCUACCAAGCCUACGAUCUGUAGCUGGUCUGAGAGGACGACCAGCCACACUGGGACUGAGACACGGCCCAGACUCCUACGGGAGGCAGCAGUGGGGAAUUUUGGACAAUGGGGGCAACCCUGAUCCAGCCAUGCCGCGUGCGGGAAGAAGGCCUUCGGGUUGUAAACCGCUUUUGUCAGGGAAGAAAUCCUUUGAACUAAUACUUCGGAGGGAUGACGGUACCUGAAGAAUAAGCACCGGCUAACUACGUGCCAGCAGCCGCGGUAAUACGUAGGGUGCAAGCGUUAAUCGGAAUUACUGGGCGUAAAGCGUGCGCAGGCGGUUAUGCAAGACAGAUGUGAAAUCCCCGGGCUCAACCUGGGAACUGCAUUUGUGACUGCAUAGCUAGAGUACGGUAGAGGGGGAUGGAAUUCCACGUGUAGCAGUGAAAUGCGUAGAUAUGUGGAGGAACACCGAUGGCGAAGGCAAUCCCCUGGACCUGUACUGACGCUCAUGCACGAAAGCGUGGGGAGCAACAGGAUUAGAUACCCUGGUAGUCCACGCCCUAAACGAUGUCAACUGGUUGUUGGGAGGGUUUCUUCUCAGUAACGUAGCUAACGCGUGAAGUUGACCCCCUGGGGAGUAC